rnacentral:rRNA from 1 species
GGAGAGCUUGCUUUCUCAAGCGAGUGGCGAACGGGUGAGUAACGCGUGAGGACCUGCCUCAAAGAGGGGGACAACAGUUGGAAACGACUGCUAAUACCGCAUAAGCCGGCAUCGGAAAAGGAGCAAUCCGCUUUGAGAUGGCCUCGCGUCCGAUUAGCUAGUUGGUGAGGUAAUGGCCCACCAAGGCGACGAUCGGUAGCCGGACUGAGAGGUUGAACGGCCACAUUGGGACUGAGACACGGCCCAGACUCCUACGGGAGGCAGCAGUGGGGAAUAUUGCACAAUGGGGGAAACCCUGAUGCAGCGACGCCGCGUGGAGGAAGAAGGUCUUCGGAUUGUAAACUCCUGUUGUUGAGGAAGAUAAUGACGGUACUCAACAAGGAAGUGACGGCUAACUACGUGCCAGCAGCCGCGGUAAAACGUAGGUCACAAGCGUUGUCCGGAAUUACUGGGUGUAAAGGGAGCGCAGGCGGGAAGACAAGUUGGAAGUGAAAUCCAUGGGCUCAACCCAUGAACUGCUUUCAAAACUGUUUUUCUUGAGUAGUGCAGAGGUAGGCGGAAUUCCCGGUGUAGCGGUGGAAUGCGUAGAUAUCGGGAGGAACACCAGUGGCGAAGGCGGCCUACUGGGCACCAACUGACGCUGAGGCUCGAAAGUGUGGGUAGCAAACAGGAUUAGAUACCCUGGUAGUCCACACUGUAAACGAUGAUUACUAGGUGUUGGAGGAUUGACCUUCAGUGCCGCAGUUAACACAAUAAGUAAUCCACCUGGGGAGUA